UACGUAGGGCGCAAGCGUUGUCCGGAAUUAUUGGGCGUAAAGAGCUCGUAGGCGGCCUGUUGCGUCCGCUGUGAAAUCCCGGGGCUCAACCCCGGGCCUGCAGUGGAUACGGGCUGGCUAGAGGCAGGCAGGGGAGAACGGAAUUCCUGGUGUAGCGGUGAAAUGCGCAGAUAUCAGGAGGAACACCGGUGGCGAAGGCGGUUCUCUGGGCCGAUACUGACGCUGAGGAGCGAAAGCGUGGGGAGCGAACAGG
rnacentral:rRNA from 1 species